rnacentral:rRNA from 1 species
AGCGAACGCUGGCGGCAGGCCUAACACAUGCAAGUCGAACGAACUCUUCGGAGUUAGUGGCGGACGGGUGAGUAACACGUGGGAACGUGCCUUUAGGUUCGGAAUAACUCAGGGAAACUUGUGCUAAUACCGAAUGUGCCCUUCGGGGGAAAGAUUUAUCGCCUUUAGAGCGGCCCGCGUCUGAUUAGCUAGUUGGUGAGGUAAAGGCUCACCAAGGCGACGAUCAGUAGCUGGUCUGAGAGGAUGAUCAGCCACAUUGGGACUGAGACACGGCCCAAACUCCUACGGGAGGCAGCAGUGGGGAAUCUUGCGCAAUGGGCGAAAGCCUGACGCAGCCAUGCCGCGUGAAUGAUGAAGGCCUUAGGAUUGUAAAAUUCUUUCACCGGGGACGAUAAUGACGGUACCCGGAGAAGAAGCCCCGGCUAACUUCGUG